rnacentral:lncRNA from 1 species
UCUCAUUCAUGUUAAUGAAGCUGUCGCUAGCACAAAUAACAAACAUUUAUAUUUGUUUAAGAAGCACGACUACUCUAAUCAGACUUUAAUUAAGUCACGUCUAAAAUUGGUUUGAGUUCUUUGAGACCAUAGCAACAGACGGCAAUGAGGAGGUGCUCUGGGGCAUAUAUAUUCACAAGCUAUAAUUGUUAGUUAUUUUUUUUAAAUGGGGUAUCUAGGAGUCACACACAGUACUUUAUUCUAGCUCUCCUGAAAAGAAAAUGUGACUUAAUACAUUAUUUUCAUCUUAGAGUUAACGGUGAAAUUAGAUGACACAUGGGAAAAUGUUCGAUUUAUAAUAAGCAUCCUUAAAUAGUAGAGGCUUUCCUUACUGUCUGAGAAAAGAACAUGGUCU